GAGUAUGCGGCUUUGUGGCCUUGGCUUUGCAAAAGCCAAUGAGAAGAUUUCUUCCAUACUUU
rnacentral:tRNA from 1 species